UACAGAGGUCUAAAGCGUUGUUCGGAAUCACUGGGCGUAAAGGGUGCGUAGGCCGCACGGUAAGUCAGAGGUGAAAUCCCGGAGCUCAACUUCGGAAUUGCCUCCGAUACUGCCGUGCUUGAGGACUGGAGAGGAGAUUGGAAUUCACAGUGGAGCAGUGAAAUGCGUAGAUAUUGUGAGGAACACUAGUGGCGAAGGCGAAUCUCUGGACAGUUCCUGACGCUGAGGCACGAAGGCCAGGGGAGCAAACGGG
rnacentral:rRNA from 1 species